rnacentral:rRNA from 1 species
UACGUAGGUGGCAAGCGUUGUCCGGAUUUAUUGGGUUUAAAGGGUGCGUAGGCGGCCGCCUAAGUCAGUUGUGAAAUACCCCGGCUCAACCGGGGGGGUGCGAUUGAUACUGGGCGGCUCGAGUAACAGCGAGGUUGGCGGAAUUGACGGUGUAGCGGUGAAAUGCAUAGAUAUCGUCAAGAACACCGAUAGCGAAGGCAGCCAACUAGGGGUUAACUGACGCUGAGGCACGAAAGUGCGGGGAGUCAAACAGG